AACGAACGCUGGCGGCAGGCCUAACACAUGCAAGUCGAACGAACCCUUCGGGGUGAGUGGCGCACGGGUGCGUAACGCGUGGGAAUAUACCCUUGGGUAAGGAAUAACUGCUGGAAACGGUAGCUAAUACCUUAUAAUGACUUCGGUCCAAAGAUUUAUCGCCAAAGGAUUAGCCCGCGUCUGAUUAGGUAGUUGGUGAGGUAAUGGCUCACCAAGCCGACGAUCAGUAGCUGGUCUGAGAGGAUGACCAGCCACACUGGGACUGAGACACGGCCCAG
rnacentral:rRNA from 1 species